UACAGAGGGUGCAAGCGUUAAUCGGAAUUACUGGGCGUAAAGCGUGCGCAGGCGGUGAUGUAAGACCGAUGUGAAAUCCCCGGGCUUAACCUGGGAACUGCAUUGGUGACUGCAUUGCUAGAGUAUGGCAGAGGGGGGUGGAAUUCCACGUGUAGCAGUGAAAUGCGUAGAGAUGUGGAGGAACACCGAUGGCGAAGGCAGCCCCCUGGGCCAAUACCUGACGCUCAU
rnacentral:rRNA from 1 species